AGUGAACGCUGGCGGUAGGCCUAACACAUGCAAGUCGAACGGCAGCACAGUAAUAGCUUGCUCUUACGGGUGGCGAGUGGCGGACGGGUGAGGAAUACAUCGGAAUCUACUUUUUCGUGGGGGAUAACGUAGGGAAACUUACGCUAAUACCGCAUACGACCUACGGGUGAAAGCAGGGGAUCUUCGGACCUUGCGCGAUUGAAUGAGCCGAUGUCGGAUUAGCUAGUUGGCGGGGUAAAGGCCCACCAAGGCGUCGAUCCGUAGCUGGUCUGAGAGGAUGAUCAGCCACACUGGAACUGAGACACGGUCCAGACUCCUACGGGAGGCAGCAGUGGGGAAUAUUGGACAAUGGGCGCAAGCCUGAACCAGCCAUACCGCGUGGGUGAAGAAGGCCUUCGGGUUGUAAAGCCCUUUUGUGGGGAAAGAAAAGCAGCAGGUUAAUACCACGCUGUUGUGACGGUACCCAAAGAAUAAGCACCGGCUAACUUCGUG
rnacentral:rRNA from 1 species